GAUAAGUAAUGUGAAUUGCAGAAUUCAGUGAAUCAUCGAAUCUUUGAACGCAACUUGCGCCCCUUGGUAUUCCGAGGGGCACGCCUGUUUGAGUGUCGUG
rnacentral:rRNA from 1 species